GUGAUUCGAGCUCGGGGUACCUCGCGGUGCAUCUAGAUUAGAGUUUGAUCCUGGCUCAGGAUGACGCUAGCGACAGGCUUACACAUGCAAGUCGAGGGGCAGCAUAAAAGUAGCAAUACUUUGGUGGCGACCGGCGCACGGGUGAGUAACGCGUAUGCAACCUACCUAUCAGAGGGGAAUAACCCGGCGAAAGUCGGACUAAUACCGCAUAAAACAGGGGCACCGCAUGGUGAUAUUUGUUAAAGAAAUUCGCUGAUAGAUGGGCAUGCGUUCCAUUAGGUAGUUGGUGAGGUAACGGCUCACCAAGCCGACGAUGGAUAGGGGAACUGAGAGGUUGGUCCCCCACACUGGUACUGAGACACGGACCAGACUCCUACGGGAGGCAGCAGUGAGGAAUAUUGGUCAAUGGGCGGGAGCCUGAACCAGCCAAGUCGCGUGAAGGAAGAAGGAUCUAUGGUUCGUAAACUUCUUUUGCAGGGGAAUAAGUGCAGACGUGUCCUGUUUUGUAUGUACCCUGAGAUAUGAUCGGCUACUCCGU
rnacentral:rRNA from 1 species